rnacentral:rRNA from 1 species
CCCUUAGAUAUUCUGGGCCGCACGCGCGCUACACUGAUGCAUUCAACGAGUCUAAAACCUGCUCUGAUAGGGGUGGGUAAUCUUUUGAAUGUGCAUCGUGAUUGGGAUAGAUGAUUGCAAUUUUUCAUCUUCAACGAGGAAUGCCUAGUAAACGCAAGUCAUCAGCUUGCAUUGAUUACGUCCCCGCCCUUUGUACACACCGCCCGUCGCUCCUACCGAUUGAAUGAUCCGAUGAAUAUCAUGGAUUGAGGAUGCAAGUAGGUUCGCCUAUCUUCAUCUUCGAGAAGUGAAGUAAAUCUUAUCAUUUAGAGGAAGGAGAAGUCGUAACA